rnacentral:misc_RNA from 2 species
CUCCCUCAAACCCCCGGGUUUGGUGUUGAGCAAUACGCUAGGUUUGUUUGAAAGAAUUUAACGUGGAAACUUAUUUUAAGCGACUUAGGUUUAUCCAAAAACGCUUAUUUUGCUAGUGGCCACCACAAUUUAUUUCAUAA